AUGGUACCUCAACAGGUGAAGCUGCAGGAGUUGGGCCCAGGACUGGUGAGACCAUCAGAGACACUGUACCUCACCUGUUCUGUCUCUGGUGAAUCCAUAUCCAGUAGUAACAGUUGGGACUCAAUCCGUCAACCAACAGGGAAGGGACUGGAGUGGAUUGGAUAUAUACAUGGUAGUGAUGGUAAUACUUACUACAGUCCAUCUAUGAAGAACCAAGCCACCAACUCAAAAGACAUAUCCAAGAAUCAGUUCUCCAUGAACCUUAGUUAUGUGACAGCUGAGGAUACAGCCAUGUACUACUGUGCAAGAAACACAGUGAGGGGAAGUGAGUAUGAGUCUAAACAAAAAACAACUGGGCCUCAUGAAGACUUGACUGCUGGGAGGAUUCAUCCCAACAGGGUAUUCUGA